CCCGAUAAAUAUUUCACAAUAUAAAAUUAUAUUUGCUCUCCAAACGGAUUUAUGUAGUCUAGACCAAAACAUUGACUAAUAUUGAUGUUGUACCUGUAACAUGCGCUCCUAAUUUACUGCUCGGCAAAAAAUUUAUUUGCGACACAAUGUAAUAAAUAAAUGACACUUUCGGAGCUUGUGACUUGUCGUAUUUAAUGGAUAGCUGUCGGAGCACCAUGGUUCAGGAACGUGAAUCUCCAUGAUGAUCUGGAACUUGUCUCAUUCACAUAAAAUCGUCGGAUCCCCAUCCACGCAGCGGGUGGGGUAUGUGGGAGUUGAACCUCACUGAAAACUCCUGCCGCUCACAGCCGGCGCCCUACCCCGGACCGGGCUGGAGCCCAGUCGGAGCUAUUGAGACGGCGGGACAGGGCUUACGCAGAGUAUAUUACAUCCAUCCCGACGUCCCCUAGACGUCGGACCAGCGGCUGCCGGUGACACGACCACCGGUUCCCACGGUCGACGGGCUGGGAGUAACAAUAAGGGAUUUUCUCCAAGAGCUGUCUUCGUGUUCUUCGACACAGUACAUACUUAUCACAGCGAAGUUAAACUGAACAGGCUUGAUCCUGAAACUUUUCAAAACCAAUUACGAAACUUAUAUUCGGAGUUAAAAAAUUGGGUAUUUCGGAUGUGAAAUCAGAAAUACUCGGAAUUGGGAACCUACUGCUGAAGCCAAAUCUUCAAUUACAUUGAACUAACUGCGGGAAGGAUAGAAACAGGUUAAGAAAACAAUUCAAUUAUAAUUUCCAAUGAUGUAUACAUACAUCUACAUAUUUACUUCGUAUCGUUUAUUUCCAACUUAAAUUGAAAUUGAGUCAUUCAGCAGAUAAUUCACACAUGUACCUAAGCGUAUGAUUAAAUUUGCAUUUAUAAGCUUAAAAACAUUUUCACAAAACAAUCCAA